AGGCGGGGAUAAGACGCAGACGCCGGGGAAGGGGCGAAGGGCGGGGUGAAGAAGAGAGGGCAAGCCGGUAAGCGUACUCGAGUGUCCGCGGGAUGCCUGGACCAACCCCGCUGGCUGGACAGCGUCGGGGGGGGGGGGGCACUUGCAGAACUUAUAGCACCUCCGGAGAGAGAAAAGUGAGGGAAGCCCAGGUCUAGUGAGCCAAAAAGCCCGGAAAAGCAAGCCAUCCCCAGCACCCUAAAACGAAAACCCAGAUGCCCUUCAGGACAAUCGGUCAUCACCCAAAGCACAGAGCAGCGAAUCUCCAGUCGAAAGACCCGUUUAUUCAUGGCUGCUUUGGUCCUCCGCUUUCUUAAGGAGUUAAAUUCAUAUCAUCAAAGGCUCUUAUUCAAGUAAGCAACAAUACUCCAAUCUGGCUAUGCAUGAAAAUCACUUGGGAUGUUUCUAAAAGUGAGAUUCCUGGAUCUACCCUGAAGGAUCCUGAUAAGGACCAAAGCCACUUCUUGAGCGUGAGGCUCAUGUGCAAUGGCACUUGUUAGAGUUGCCAGGUGAAACACAGGGCACCCAGAUAAUUUGAAUUUCUGAUAGACAACGAAAAAUCUCUAAU